rnacentral:rRNA from 1 species
AGGAUGAACGCUGGCGGCGUGCCUAAUACAUGCAAGUCGAACGAGUCCUUCGGGACGAGUGGCGGACGGGUGAGUAACACGUUGGUACCUGCCCCGAAGUGGGGAAUAACUGGCCGAAAGGUCGGCUAAUACCGCAUAAUACCGUAAGGUUAAAGCAGUAAUGCGCUUCGGGAGGGGCCUGCGUCCCAUUAGCUUGUUGGCGGGGUAAUUGCCCACCAAGGCGACGAUGGGUAGCUGGAUCGAGAGGUUGACCAGCCACACUGGGACUGAGAUACGGCCCAGACUCCUACGGGAGGCAGCAGUAAGGAAUCUUCCACAAUGGACGAAAGUCUGAUGGAGCAACGCCGCGUGCAGGAUGACGGUCUUCGGAUUGUAAACUGCUUUUAUAUGGGAAGAUUAUGACGGUACCAUAUGAAUAAGGACCGGCUAACUACGCGCCAGCAGCCGC